CUACAAGCCCUCUACUUGUCACACCGGAGAGGUAACAGUAAAUACAAACACAGCUGUAGAAACCAUAAUCACUGUCCGCAUUAGAUACAAGCACAAAACACUAAUAAAUAACAACUAGAAACAUCUACAGUUGUAGUUUGUGUGAUUUUAAUUCAGUUUCCCUUUUGAACCCUUGGUUUAAAGAGGUCCAGGCCACAAGUUUUAUUAUCACUGGAUUAAAGUUACAAUUUGAAGGUACUAUUUGCAAUUGCUGUUGAGAACAUUUGGCAUUGUUGUAGUAGUUCUUUGAAUUGAUUAAACUAUUUUAAUACCUCAAAUUAUUAAAAAAAAAAUAGUUUCAAAGCAGAUGAGCUCAUCACAGCCCCCCUGUGCUGGCUUCGUUGUUGGUCACUGAUAUUUGUCACCAGAGUGUCGGAACUUCGGGAAGAAAUUCCAGGAGUAGGUGAACAGUGCAACACCGCUCCCUUCAUUUCUCUCCAUGCUGGUGGGAUUUUCAUCAGACACAUCCAUGGUGACAUCAGCAACUUUCAGGAGUUCACAAAGUGCAGCGACCAAAAGAUAGAGUCAUCCACUGGCAUUUCAGCAGAGACGGCCUGCAGAUGGAUGCUUGGGAGUUGUUGGAGCUGAAAGUUGAAGCCCAGCAGUGGUGUUGGCAAAGCAGAGGCAGAGACCGCUUAAACAGACUAUCUAAUUGGGAGGAUACGUCAUCAGACAUGGAGGUGUGUCCAAAGGCGUGUCUCAUUUCCUGAAGAAUUUGAUCUGAAGUCUCUGUAAAGUUGAUGUAUUGUGAUAGUUCAAAAAAAAUUACAACACAAACAAGAGCACUUUGUGAUCAUUUUAAUCAGUAAAAAGAAACAAACACCAUGCAUCUUUCUGGUAUCAGCAUGUUACUCUCUCCCUGUGGGCUGACCUGAGGGCUCUUCCCGUCUACACACCUGCAGAAUCACUGCAGAAAGUUACAGAGGGUGUUUUCGGAAACUUGCAAAGGUUAGCCAGCACAGGCCCCCACCCCCACCCGCCUCUGGCUUUCGCUGUAAGAAGUCUGAAGAAUCCUGCAGAGUGAGUACUGGUUUGAUUUGGGGAUUGGGUGGGAGGAGAACAGCCCCCCUGCAACCAUUGGCCUCCAGAUCACACACAAACACUCACACACUGCAAAGAUUCCAGACAGUAAAAAGUUACCAAAAGCCCCUGAAAGCAGGUGGUCGAUGCUUUUGUUGAACAGAAUGUGCACAACUCUGAAAGUCCUGAAAAGGUCAACAUA